CUUGCUGAGGUGCACACAGCAAG
rnacentral:misc_RNA from 1 species